UACUUAUUUCCUUUAGCUUUUCUUUAUUUUCACUCCUCUGCAAUGGCAUUUCUGGGCUUGGAUCUUGGGGAUCCUAACAAUUGGUAUCAAAACCCACAACUGGGCCUGUUUCCGAUGAGUCUGGCAGUGCAGGGCGGUGGGAUCUCCGGCGCUUGUUAUCUCACACAUCCGUCUCACCCUCACGGUAGCCCUAGCUACCCACCACCUCCUCCUUCAUUUCCAUUCCAACCGAGUUACUCACCACCACCACCACGCCAAACAAUCAUUAAUGGGUAUGUUUUCUUUCAUCAAUUUCCAUCAACCCAUACUCACCAUUCACCUGAUUCUACCGCAAAUACCCAUCGAUUUCCUAUGAACCAUCAGUUAGCAGUGUUAAUUCACACUUCAUCUCCACCAAAACCAUGCGUACCCCACUUGUUUACCAUUCUGCUCCUUCAAUUCCAACCUUUCAGUCACCCUUAGUCUCCACUUUUGUGCCCCAACUCCAAUUUACUGAUCCAAAACCUCUUCCUCUCCAUAGCAAACAGUUUCGGGGUUUCAGAUGUAGAGUCGUCGUCAUGGGUGCAAAAGCAAGAGUUGCCAAAAAGACCCAAAACCCAGAUCUGCUCCGUUAUGUGGGUAAGUACUCGAGGUCCAAGAGGUACCGCAGGUGCAGUCUAUGGGCCAUCAAGGCCAAAAGUGGAGGUGCCUUCCCACGUCACAACUCCAAGGCGGCAGUUGAGAUUAUGGAGGCUCCUCUUCAGCAACUUGUGGGUCUAAAAACUCCAGUCGAUAUAUCAGAAUCGCCGGCGGUGCAAUUUGGAACUCUACUAUCUUCCGGCAACACCUCGUCGUCUUCCGUUCCGGCAACGGAAGCUACAGACCACUCCACUCCCACACAAGCCCCAAUUGCUUCACCUAAAGUCGCACAGAAGGUGUUCGACUUAAAGCUGGCAAUGGAGAUCCCAACACCAACUGCAGAAGAUGAUGAGAUUAACAAGGUUGGGUAUGUCACCAUUCCUGUUGAGAUUGCCGGUCCUCUCAUGCUUGAUGGAAGAGAGCUCUCAGUGCCCAUGGCCACCACUAAAAGUUGCCGUAUGGAAGACCCUGCUAAGAGACUAGCUGGAUUAAAGUUCUUCAUGGAAGACCCCGAUAAAUAUGAAACCAGUUUCCAUCUCAAAAAGGCAAAAAAAAUGGCCAAAAUCACAUGAAAUUGAGCAGCAGGAAUCCAUCAUGCCGGUUAGUGGCAUUGAGAAUGCUAGGGAAGAGUACCCUACACCUGUUCUUGGAGCUGCUGAGAAUUCAUCAAACAUUCCCUCCCCAGUUGAGGUUGUCCAGACCGUGGCACGAAGGAUAUCCAACUCAGCCACUGAAGCAGACAAAGAAGCCUGUGACCAUCAUCCCUUGGAGAAAAAUUGUGAUGACAGUGGAGGAUUGAAAACCUUGAAUAUUCAAUUUGAGAUGAGUUUUCCUAUUGCUACUUGGCUUGAGAAAAUUCAAAAGGAUGCAGUUUUACCUCCAGUGGCUCAGUUUAAGCUACCUCAGUUUUCCUCGAGCAUCAAGAAACUUGUUCUCCUGACUGGUGCUUUAAAACCUGUUAUUGAUUUACUGAGUUCACCUUGUUUGGUAAGCCAAAGAAAAGCUGCUUUAUUACUUGGUUAGUUAAUUACUGCUGAUUUAGAUUGCACGGCACACAUUGUUCAAAGGAGUGCGAUACAACCAUUAAUUAAGAGCUUAGCUUUGGCAAUUGGGAGGUUGGCACAAGACACACAUAACCAAGCUGACAUUGCUCAUAAUGGUCGCGUAGUGCCUCUACUCAAGUUACUUCAUUCAAAAAAUGAAUCUCUGCAACACAAUGCUGCAUUUGCUCUAUAUGGUCUUGCAGAUAAGGAGGACAACAUUGUAGCUCUUAUAAAAUUUGGAAUUGUUCAGAAAUUUGAAGAUGGAGAAUUCCUUGUUCAACAAACUAAGGAUUGUGUUGAAAAGACAUUGAAAAGAUUAGAGGGGAAUAUUUGUGGACGAGUAUCGAACAAUCUAUUAUAUCUAAUGCGGGUUACUGACGAGGCCGUUCAAAGUCAAGUGGCUUUGGCUUUUGCUCAUCUUUGUAAGCCUGGAGGUUGUCAUGUCAUUUUCAGUGAACAUAAAGCAAUGAAGCUGCUCUUGGUGCUUCUUGAUUAUAAAAGCCUGAAAAGCCUGAAGCUACAACAUGAUGGUUCAUUGGCCUUGCAAAAAGUGGCUACAAAAGCCACUCCACUCUCUCUUGAUGUGAUUGCGGAAUCUCUCACGGUGGUAGCCCAAGUUUUGUGCACUACAUAUAAUUUUGGCUUGCAAGUUUUAUCAGCAUUGUUCUAUGGUUGUGGAAGCUUCUAUAAUAUUGCGGUAUUCUUCUCUUCUACAUUCUUCAUUGGAUUGUGUUGACUUCAGGUCUGCAAUGCUUAAUUUUAUUCAUUAUUGUGUUUGCCUUGUUCAUGCACAUGAACAUGCACUAGACUAUUUAUUCAUGACCUAUACUGUACAUACUCUCUCACUCCCUGUGGCUACAAUGUUUAUCAAAGAUGUUACUGGUGGUAACCUCUAUCUAUUUGAAGUGGCCGUACUCCACUUCCUUUGCCAAACUAAAGCUAGCUGCCACCCAAGGAGCUUUAUUGUUGAUGAAUUUUUUGACUUUCUGAAAAGCAAUUCAAAAUUAUCUUUUGUGAGGUACACUUGUGAUGUACUUCUUUCAAGUGAUAAUUGUGUAGGCUUUUUGACUAAUAUGCACAAGUUUUUUCAACACAUGGUGGGACAUGUUCAUGAAGAUGAGCUUUUCAUGGCAACUUGCUCUUCCACUUCUUGUCCUCCAUUCCAUGCACUUGUGAAGAAAUUGUUUCUUUUAUCACCUGUGGUUGCUAUCCAUUUAUUACGACCACUUUUGGCUGACAUAUUGAGAGAUGAUGCACAGUUUAUCUUUGGAAUUAUGAUGGUUUUCUCUAUGAAUGAGCUGAUGUCUUUGAGGUCUAAGAAGCAGGGCCUUGAAAUUGGGUAUAGUGAUAUUGAUAAUGGAAAUUAUUGCUCUUUUAUGAGCUGUUCUCUUCACUUGCCUCAUUUCAUGAUUACAUGGUUUUUUGACUUCACUUCUGUGGCAAUGGCCUUGGAGAUCUUGCAUUAAUUCCCCCACAAUACUUUUCAGUACCUAUGCGGUCAAAUGAGGCUCCCGCGCUUAUAUUGUUGUUUAGAGUUGUACACUCUCAGGCAAUUGAAUUUGUGAAUUCAAGCCAUAUACUGCAGGGUCCCAAUAGAGAAGCCUUCAGAACCUCUGCUACUUCUCAUGCUGGUGUUCAUUUAUGUCCACUAAUGCAUAAUAGUGUCUUCAAAUAUUAUAUAUGUCUCUUGAAGCAAAGAAUGGAGUUUCCCUGGAAUUACAUGCCAUAUACUAAGCUGGCUAUCUUUCUUAGUUGGAUCAUUAAGACGCGGUCAUGUUUCAAAGAAGUGGCAAAUAUUGAUACAACACUGCACCCUACUGUGGGAGUUUUUUAUGCUGCUAAUAAUUCUAGCACUGGAACAGACUCAGAAAAGUCAGAAAGGGACUUGCUUGGUGACAUAAUUAAGACACUAUUAUAUGUGAUAAGUGAGAUCAUUCAUGUGGCUUCUGAUAAUUUGGAUAGUUUCUCUGCUUAUUUGCAACCUAGCAGGUAUGAUAGAGAUACAAGUAUAACUGCGGAGUUGUCAAAUGGAAACUGCAGUGAUUCUCAAUAUAUUUGUGGUAUUGCUAGACUUGUUCUUGGUUUGGCAAGUUCUGUUGGUGCAAUGUACAGAGCUGGGGUGGAUGAUGCUAUUUUCAAUAUAAACAAGGUUAUGGUAUCAUGGGUUCUGCAUAUGAAUAGACUGGUUCAAGGCUCCUUUCAUCAUCUUAUCCAAUGGGGUAUCACCCUUGAGUUUGUCUCUACUAUCUCCAUUUAUGGUUGCUUCUUUUAUAACAAUUUGGGGGCUGCUCUUGACAAUAUAAUGGCUCUCCAGCUGGUUAACAUAGUUGAUUGUGCUCUUGGAACUUCACUCAAUGCUUUUGAUAGGUAUUGGGAUAAAAUGUUCUUGCUGUUGGCAGUAUCUGCAGUUUCGGAGCCUCAGAAGCCAAAGAUGACUUUUGGUGACUUGGAUAAUGAAGCAAGGACAAAAUUUCGGAAGACAUUUCAGGCUUGAGGUCAAGCCUAUUCUUUGAGCGGGUGGAAAUGUUAUGAGUCAUUUCAUUUGCAAUUGAAAGGCAGCGUUUUGUCUAGUUGGCGCGCACCGUUUAGUCCUUAUGCUGGGAGUAUGUUAGAAUUCAGUGGAACAAAGAACGCUCAAGUUUAUGCACUUCAAGAGAUGCUCAGAAAAUAUACUGAAACUUCUGAUACUGGCUUCUCCGUAAGUGUGCGAUCUGUUAAUGGAUUCCAAGGUGGUGAAGAAGAUGUGAUAAUUAUAUCUACUUUCCGAUACGUAAUGGGAAUGGGUCAGUUGGUUUUUUGUUGAACCGGCAAAGAGAAAAUGUUGCCCUAACACGUGCAAGGUGUUGCCUUUGGAUAUUGGGGAAUGGUUCAACUUUGAUUACUAGCGACUCUGUUUGGAAGAAGCUAGCCCUUUAUGCCAAGAAACGGAACUGUUUUUAUAUUGCUGAUGAAGACAGCAACUUGGCUCAGGCUAUUACAGCUGCCCUGCUGGAGCUUGACCAACUUCAUUCUCUGCUUAAUAUCGACUCUAUGCUGUUCAAAAACGCUAUAUGGAAGGUUCGCUUCACCGAUGACUUAUUGAAUUCCAUAACAAAAAUUAAAGACAUUGAUUCUUCUCGAAGUGCUUGCGUUAUUAACCAAGCUUUCAAGUGGAUGACGCCAACCUCAGAAGGAUAAAGGAAAUUUAGUGUAUGAUGGGACUUCUGCUCAACUGUUAGAGAAGUAUAAAAUCAAAGGGCACUUGAAUCUCAUUUGGACUGUAGAUAUGGGUGAGCAUCUAUUCCAAUUUUUUUUUUGCAAGUCAAAUUGUUUUUGAAUAAUCAAAUAAAAGCAAAUUAUAACUAUACUAAAACCCAACUCACUAGAGGACAAACGAAAUGAACAGUAACAUGACUUUUUUGCCCUUGGUUCUUUGCAAUUUUACAUGCUUACCUCAGACAUAUGUCCAUCUAGCCCAUGCUAUGUGUUGUCGAAUUGAGAAAAACUCCACCGCCUCGGUCCAUUUAGAAUGUUUUUCUUAUUCUCUCUCUCGAUCAACAAUGGCCUCCGAUGGUGCUUCUCUGGUCAGUCCCUUCUUCUUCUUCUAUCAAAUUGGCUCCAAUUUCUGGUGAAAUUGUCUGGCACUGGUAAGGGAGGCUGAUUUGGUCAAGUGGGUUUUCUAAUUUCUGGGAUUUUUUUAGUGGGUAAUUGAAGAGAUUGAAAAUUUAGGUUGAGACUACGAAUGACAUGAUUGAGGGGGAGAUAUUGGGUCGACAUCUUAUGAACUAUCUUGAUUAUGGGAUGGAGCCAAUUGAAAUUGGGUUGUUCCUAGAAUCACUAUGCUACUACCCUCCACUUCCAAAUCAUCCGUCUUCCAAAGCAGUGUAGAUAUAUGUAUGGAUUGGUUGUAACCCAGGAAAAUUGAGACAUUUGUAUGCAGCAGCACCUACUCGACCUAGUACAGUGAGUAGUGUUACGUCCAUACUUGGUGGGACUUCUGAUAAUACAGGGUUGAGCAUUGCUCGGAGAUUGUGUCGAGGACUGGACUAAACAUAAUUGUGGCUUGCAACAUUCCUAAGAAUAAUCCUAUGAUUGAGGUUUGUGCCCUUUCUAUCUCACACACAUAUUCAGAAACACAUUUAAGAAUCUUGCAUCUAUCUGUGCUGUUUGUGUCAAUUUCAGGUAUGAUAUUUUGGAGUUACGGGUUUUGCAUUGUAAUUGAUGUCAUUAACUUAUGUAAUUAUUAGAGUACGAUUUCUUUUGAUAUUAGACAGAUAUCCGUGAGGGGACUUUUUUCAUAGAGAAAACUUUGCAUAUUUGUUUCAUUGUUCACUUACAGUAGCAACAGAGCCUUUUCAUAUUAAAUUCAAGUGUAUCAAGUGAUGUUGCCGUGUUGGUUUUAGUUUAAUAGUACUUCUUUAGAUGAAUUCUCCAAUUGUUCAGACAUUAGUGGAGUUUCGGUGAUAUAGGUGUGCUUAGGUAUUGGGUUGUGGCCAUAUGGGGUAUGUCUACAUCUGUUUUUACUUUAUUUAGAUUGCUGCCAUUUCCACAGCAAUUUUGAUUUGGAGUUUGAUCACAUGCAUUAUUGUUUUGUAGGAUUAUUUUUAUGUUGGUCUUAAACUCUUGAUUUAGAUGCAGGGUGUUUUUGUUUUUCCCUUCUUUUUUCAAAUGGUUGGUUUUUACUGUUGUGUAUAGUUGUAUUUUUGACAAGGCCACAUCUCUGGUUUGAAUUCUGAUCUCUCUUAUGUUCCAACCUGUAAAGAUGCAUUCUUAUGCUUAAAAUGGUUGCUACCUGAGGAGAGGGAACAGAUUUUUGAUAUAGUAAGCGGAUCAACCAUUUGAAUUAUGAAGAUUGUAAAUAGAGUCACUUAACUUUUGACAUGAAUGUUUUACUACAUGUUUGACAAACUACACUGCCCUUUGAGGUAGGAAUUUUUCCAUUGGCAUCCAAUUUAUCUGUUCUGAUCUUUCUUACAUGUUAUACAAUUUUGUAAAAGUUGUUAAUCAUCUUAUGUGUUAUACAAUUUUGAAGUACAUUUUCAUCCAUUCCUUUAAGGUUAUGAGAUUUUGUAUUCAAAAUUUGCAAUAUAACUUGCUUAUGAUUCAGCUUGCGUUGAUUGGGGUUGGCCAAGCAAUAGCAUUGAAACUACUGGGAUCUGAAAGAGAGAGAAAGAGACAAAGAGAGAUAGAGAUGAUUGGUAUGAAAUGAGGGAUGUUUAGCCAAUUGGGUAUUAUAUUUGAAGUGGGUUUCUUAGUGAUUUGGGUCUCUUUGUUUCUCUAAUGGUUGGUUAGAUAGAGGAGAUUAGGGAGGUUGGGUGUAUUGGAUGCUUGGGACUAGCCAACAACUAAAAACUAACCAAUUUUACAGAGGUGGAGACCGUGGAGUUGUUUUGAUAAGCUUAUUGGGUGAGCUUUGUUUUCAUCAGAGGAACUCUCUGGAUUCUAUUGUGCUCAUCUUUGUGUUCUCCAAAUCUCCUACAAUGUGGUGUAGUUUUUUGGGUAAAGGGUAACAUCAGUGCUUUUGCAGAUCCAAAGUGUGUGUGUGUGUGUGUGUGUGUGUGUCUACUUGUGGAGUUUGCUUCUACAUCACCUAAUGUGAUAUUUCCUUUGUUUUUUUUCCCCCUUUUUUGUUGCAUGAUGAUGGCAUUAAUAGUUUUAUGUGACUUCUUCUUCUUCUGCAAGUCUUUGUGGUUCUCAUGCGAAAUAUUUUGGGCUCCUACAUCUCUUUGUGCAUCAUCUGUUAGCUCAGGUAUUAGUUUAAUCUCAGAUACUUGAAGACCCAAAAAAGCAUUGCUGAUACAUCUAAUGUGUUUUAAUGUAUAAUUUCAAAAUAUGGCUAAAGCAACAGCUUUUUGUGACAAGUAUAUUGUAGUUUUAAUGUAUAAUGUACCUAUAAUGUAUUUUCAUUGUAUAAUAUACCUAUAAUGUUGUUUUAAAUUCAAUCAUAUCGGUAGUAUACCCGCAGCAUCGCGCGGGCCUCUCGCCUAGUUUGAACUAAAUGAUACAUAACUCUAUUUGCUAUAAAUAUUGGUUUUGGCAAAUAGGAAUCAACUACCAUGUAGAAAAAUGGAUAAAUAAUUUUGAGCAUGAAAUCUUUUCCUCGUCUUUACUGUAGGUGCUCAUGUCGUUUAGUGAUGCUGAAGUUUAUUAGGCCUUAAUUUAAUUUUUAAUAAUCAUAAACUUAAAACUCCAAAUGUUUAAUGCUGGAGGUUAUUCUCAGCAGCACCAUGUCAUCAUGUAGGUCAUGCUUUUGGUCACACAUAUUAUUCGCUUUCACUUGUUCAUGUCGAUAGGUGAUGUUGAAGUUCAUGUUCUGAAAAGGGGGCAUUAGUUUUCAAUAGAAAAGAUGGUCAUAUUCAUAUUCAUUACCUGAUAUAUUUUGGAAGCAUAUAUAUGAGUUAAUGUACCACUUGCUUCAAUAGGGAGACAGCGAAAGCAGUAAAACUGAUUAUUUGUUCGAAAAGAAACGUCAAUCAAACAGAAAGAUUGUUAUGGAAAAUAAAGGCUGAAGACGAAGUGAAGGAUUUCAGCACUUGCCUUGAAGCUGACCGUGUGGAGUUCUUUUCAAAACCAUCAUCAUUACUAAAAUAAGCCAGAAGCAUCUACUUCCACUGACAUGUGAGUCAUACCUACCUAUUCUGAUAUGCAUUUUGGAAGUCACUCCGCGGUUUGCUGGUCCUUUUGAGGUUUCGGAUGUAGUUGGUGAACAUUCUUAUCGAGUAGCUCUUCCAGCUAAACUAUCCGGUGUCCGUGAUGUAUUCCAUAUCUCUGUUUUGAAGAAAAACCAUGAAGAUGCUUCACAUGUUUUGACUUGGAAAGAUUUGAAAAUUCACAAAGAUCUAUCUUAUGACGAGAGGAUGGUUAGAAUUGUUGAUGCCUGGUAGGAGCAUUCGCUUGGUGAAAGUGUUCUGGCAGUAUCAUGGUAUCGAGGAAGCAACAUGCGAGUUGGAGACUCAAGUCAUGGCUAAAUAUCCAGAUUUGUUUGUGCUUUAGCUAAUGCAUAUAGUUUUUUACUAAUUUGGCUAGGAAAAUGUGAACUGUUUAAUCCAAAACUUCGUGCUGUGUUAGUACUUUAAUGAAGUUUCUUAUCUAUGAAGUUUGUUGUAUUUCUAAUUUA